UGCAUGUCUAAGUAUAAGCAAUUAUACCGUGAAACUGCGAAUGGCUCAUUAAAUCAGUUAUCGUUUAUUUGAUAAUACCUUACUACUUGGAUAACCGUGGUAAUUCUAGAGCUAAUACAUGCUGAAAAUCCCGACUUCGGAAGGGGUGUGUUUAUUAGAUAAAAAACCAAUGCCCUUCGGGGCUUUUUGGUGAUUCAUGAUAACUUUACGGAUCGCAUAGCCUUGCGCUGGCGACGGUUCAUUCAAAUUUCUGCCCUAUCAACUUUCGAUGGUAAGGUAUUGGCUUACCAUGGUUUCAACGGGUAACGGGGAAUGGGGC
rnacentral:rRNA from 1 species